UACGUAGGCAGCAAGCGUUAUUCGGAUUCACUGGGCGUAAAGGGUGCGCAGGCGGCCGUGUGUGUGAGGCGUGAAAGCCCGGGGCUUAACCCCGGAAUUGCACCUCAAACUACACGGCUAGAGCAUUGGAGAGGGUAGCAGAAUUCACGGUGUAGCAGUGAAAUGCGUAGAUAUCGUGAGGAAUACCAGAGGCGAAGGCGGCUACCUGGACAAUUGCUGACGCUCAGGCACGAAAGCGUGGGGAGCAAACAGG
rnacentral:rRNA from 1 species